GCGGGAAUUUUGGGCAAUGGGGGAAACCCUGACCCAGCAACGCCGCGUGAAGGAUGAAGUAUUUCGGUAUGUAAACUUCGAAAGAAUAGGAAGAAUAAAUGACGGUACUAUUUAUAAGGUCCGGCUAACUACGUGCCAGCAGCCGCGGUAAUACGUAGGGACCAAGCGUUGUUCGGAUUUACUGGGCGUAAAGGGCGCGUAGGCGGCAUGACAAGUCACUUGUGAAAUCUCUGGGCUUAACCCAGAACGGCCAAGUGAUACUGUCGCGCUAGAGUGCAGAAGGGGCAAUCGGAAUUCUUGGUGUAGCGGUGAAAUGCGUAGAUAUCAAGAGGAACACCUGAGGUGAAGACGGGUUGCUGGGCUGACACUGACGCUGAGGCGCGAAAGCCAGGGGAGCAAACGGGAUUAGAUACCCCAGUAGUCCCUGAGCGGGC
rnacentral:rRNA from 1 species